CCUGGCCUUUCAUGUGACAGUCAAAGAUCCACAAUGUGAAAGUGGGAUUAACCCAUCUGUGAAGUUCUAGUCUGUGCAGUCACAAUUGACCAUUGCAGGUCUUAACAAGAGGACCCUGCGGGGACACAACAGACUUCAAUUCUUUAGCCAGCUUUUCCUCGGCUCAGAAUAUGGAGAGAGCUGGAGACCCUCCAAACCAGAGGAUGUUCCCUGGUCUUCCCAGGAGAGAAAUGAACUAUCUUUUGUAAAAAGUAAAGAAGAGGCGGACUGGAGGAUAUUAAGAGGAUGUACCUCCUGAAAGGAACAGAUACUUGAGAGGGAUCGCUUGAUGGAGGGGACAAUCAGAACUCGGGACAGGACAAGGAGUAGUGACAACACCGAAGUAAGUAAUAAUAAAGUAAAUGUACCAUAUUUGGAAUAAUCUCACUUCUUGACAAUGUGUGGUUUCUCUGAGACUGAUUAAAGCCUGACUUUUGGGAGGCUCACAUCUGUAAUCCUAGCAACUCAGAAGGCUGAGCCAGGAAGAUCAUGAAGGCCAGGAGUUUGGGAGCAGCCAAAGCAAUACAGUAUGACCUGCUCCCUAAAAAUAAUAAAAAAUUUAAAUCUG